rnacentral:rRNA from 1 species
CGGAAGGUUAAGGGGAGUGGUGCAAGCCGCGAACUGAAGCCCCGGUGAACGGCGGCCGUAACUCUAACGGUCAACCGAACGGUCCAACCAGGCCUUGGGCGCAAGCCCUAGGCCCGGAGGCUGUUUAAGGCCGUUGUAAAAUCUGGCUAUAUGCUGGGAAACCCGAGUAUCCGGCGCUACCCGUUGAUCGAAUCUGGGUCAAUUGGUGACAAUGCGUCCGGUGCGGACAAUCAGCAGGAAAGACCAUGGAGGAAAUCCCCGCGCCACGUUCCGGACUCUGUCAAGGAAUGGUCCAUGGACGGGGUGGAACUUCACGGAAUCCUCAGAGACCAUACGCCAGACCCGCUGUCGGAACGUGCGGGAAGAUAUGGUCCGAUCUGUGUGGCGACAUGCAGAGGGCGGCAGAAAUGACCGUCCCCUCCGGUACUCAGCCAAACAGGCAACUGUCUGACCGGGAAUCGGGGAGUAACAAAUUGCCUAAGGUAGCGAAGUCCCUUGUCGGGUAAGUUCCGACCCGCAUGAAUGGUUGAACGACUUGGCCAUUGUCUCGGCGGAGGGCUCGGUGAAAUUGCGGUGCCCGUGAAGAC